ensembl:piRNA 21ur-11926 ncRNA
UUUCAGUUUGAACCGCCGUGU